UGUGGGGCCCAAUCCCAUGACCCUGAGAUUGCGACCUGAACAAAAAUUAAGAGCUGGACACUAGCCCACUAUGUUACUUAGGAUCCAUUUGAUGAUAAGAGGCAGAAGCCCAGUUUGAAAUAGAGAGGCACAAAGGAACAUUUACUGGAAGGAGUUUUGCUCAUAUUCUGUGGAGAACCCUGGGAAACACCCCUUUCCAGAAGAAGAUGCUUGGAAGCCCAGUGAAGUCUUCGCAAGGAUCACACACUCAGAAAACUCUACAGCCGGAGAUGUGUACUCUAGUGACAAAGGCUAGCAGUCCCAUUUUACAGAUGAAAUUGUGGCCCAGGGAGCCCAGGGCGUCCAGUGUGGUGAAAGGACCUGCCUGGGUUCCAGGUGGCAGGAGUUCCACACUCCAGGAUCAGCAUCAUCCUCUCCCCAACAAAGACCCCAGUGCUAGCCAGCUGCAGCCCUUUCCUCAGAUGCUUGUGUGGCAGCCCCACGGGGCCCCUCCUGGGAGUGACCUUAUCUUAGUAAUCCCAGCCUCUCUUUGUUCCCCAGCUCUGGCCAGUAGUUGUUCUUGCUGGUGUGGUUCCUGUGAUUUCAGUGUCUUGUUUUAUUUUCCAGGUCUCCCACACUUGGUCAGCGAUUCUUUAUGUCAACUUCUCUCUGUUAAAGGGGCCAGGGGAGCUCCUGUCUCCUGACGGGACCCUCAUGGACACACUGCUGCUUAAUUUCAAGGACAGUUUCGCCCUUUUUCAUCCUUUCCCCUCUCUGUCCUCCCUUGCAUCUUGUGGAGCAGGGUUUGCUAAUGGCAUCAGGGAAACUGAGAUCCAGGUAGUAAGUGGUGGAGCCAACACUGGACUCAGGCUCCCUGCCACCAAGGGCACCCUCUGUCCUGCUGAAGGCUGACUACUUGUCCUGGUUACAAGGGGAAAAAGCCAGGAUUCCCACCUAGAGUCAUAAAGUUGAGGUGCUCAUGAGCUCUGUUACAAACAUUAUAACAUUUCUGUUUUCAGGAAUGCAUUCCCUGGAAAUAUGAAAGAAGCACGAGAAUUGCUAGUAAGUCCCCAUGAUAAGUUCCAAAAGGAAGAAAGAACCUCAGUAAAAUAGGAUUAUUACACAAGGUUUACAGUUCUAAAGGGAAUUUCCUGGAAAAUGAUAUCGUUUCUUGCUCCUUCUUGUUCUUCUCCAUAUAACAUUUAAUGAGCUGCAUGUUCUGCAGGAAGUCUUUUCAUUGUGCAUUUUCCUGCAUGUCUGGCAUGUAUAAGAAUUUUGAGGUGCAUAUAGAAAAUGCGUUGAUGUCCACAAGUAUCAGGGGCUAGGGUUUCUCCUUACUUGAAUAUUCUUUGGGAAUGACUGUAAUCUUUACAUUGGUUUGCAUCAAUUACCUUAAAAACAGAAUAAUGUGGCCAAUACUUAGACAAUAUUUACAAGGUCCCAGGCUCUGCUCUGAGUGCUUUAUUAUAUUAGCUUUUACAAUUUCCACCACAACCCUAAUAUAACAUGUUUAUCUCUUCUUCAUUGAUGUCAUUAAGGCACAGGGAGGUUAAGUGCUUGUCCAGGAUUGCACAGUUGAUAAAUAUUAGAGCUGGGAGUUGAAACCAUGCUAUCUGGCUCCAGAAUUCUUGCUCUUAUCAAGAAUACUGAGCUUAUUUCUUAAAGUGUUUUUUUUUUUUUUUUAAGAGAGAGAGAGGG